CCUACGGGCGGCAGCAGUGAGGAAUAUUGGUCAAUGGGCGCGAGCCUGAACCAGCCAAGUCGCGUGAGGGAAGACGGCCCUACGGGUUGUAAACCUCUUUUGCCGGGGAGCAACGGGCGCCACGUGUGGCGCCACUGAGAGUACCCGGAGAAAAAGCAUCGGCUAACUCCGUGCCAGCAGCCGCGGUAAUAAGGAGGAUGCGAGCGUUAUUCGGAUUUAUUGGGUUUAAAGGGUGCGUAGGCGGAUCGUUAAGUCAGUGGUCAAAGUGAGGGGCUCAACCCCUUCCCGCCAUUGAAACUGGCGCUCUUGGGUGGAAGAGAAGUAUGCGGAAUGCGUGGUGUAGCGGUGAAAAGCAUAGAUAGCACGCAGAACCCCGAUUGCGAAGGCAGCAUGCCGGCUUCCUACUGACGCUGAAGCACGAAAGCGUGGGGAUCGAACAGGAUUAGAUACCCCUGGUAGUC
rnacentral:rRNA from 1 species